CUCGGCAAUUCCCUUCUCUCCCUGAAAAUCUUAUCCUCUCUAUCCAGGUCUAUUUUCUUACUAGUUCAGAGGAAGAACCAUGUCUACAGCUGCAGCCUCUUCUCUAGUUCUCCCUUCUCUCCAUCCUAAAACCCUGUCCCUUUGCAACCCCAACAAACCCACUUCUCUCUUUUUUGUCUCUCCCUCUUCCUCUUCACUUAGCCUCCAUGCCAAGGGCACCAUUUCAAUUACCGAUUCACUUUUCCACUCUUUUGGAGCUCUCCGACUGCCCUUUUCCUCUCGCUUUGUUCCCAACGUCGCAGUUUCUUCUGAGUUCGGACAAGAAGAGGAGGUCUCGAGCGACGGAGAUGAGCCCACUUUCUCUCCCGACCUCAAAUUGUU
rnacentral:misc_RNA from 1 species